UACGAAGGGGGCUAGCGUUGCUCGGAAUCACUGGGCGUAAAGCGCACGUAGGCGGAUUGUUAAGUCAGGGGUGAAAUCCUGGAGCUCAACUCCAGAACUGCCUUUGAUACUGGCGAUCUUGAGUCCGGGAGAGGUGAGUGGAACUGCGAGUGUAGAGGUGAAAUUCGUAGAUAUUCGCAAGAACACCAGUGGCGAAGGCAGCUCACUGGCCCGGUACUGACGCUGAGGUGCGAAAGCGUGGGGAGCAAACAGG
rnacentral:rRNA from 1 species